AUUACAGGCAUGAGCUACCACGCCUGGCCAAGACUGUGGCUUCUGUCUUGAUUGCAAACUGUCUCUGAUGCCUCUUGCGUGCUUGUUCUGAGGAAGCCAGCUACCAUGCUGUCAACCACCCCAUGCAGAGGUUCACAUGGCCAGGAACUGAGAACAGCUUCUGGCCAACAACCAGCAAGAAACUGACGCCCUCAGGGGAACCAAGGCCCUUAGUCCAACAGCUUGUGAGAAACGGAAUCUGGCCAACAACCACGGUCUCCAUUUGUUGCCCAGGCUGGAACGCAGUGGUACGAUCAUGGCUCGCUGCAGUCUCAACCUCCCAGGCUCAACUGAUCCUUCCACUGCAGCCUCCUGAGUAGCUGGGACUAUAGGCGCAUGUCACCACACCCAGCUAAUUAAACAAAUUUUUUUUGGUAGACACGGGGUCUCCCUAUGUUGACCAGGCUGGUUUUGAACUCCUGGGCUCAAGUGAUCUACCUGCCCCCUGCUUCCCAAAGUGCUGGGAUUACAGGUGUGAGCUUCUGUGCCCU
rnacentral:lncRNA from 10 species